ensembl:lncRNA
GAGAAGAGAAGAGAAGAGAAGAGAAGAGAAGAGAAGAGAAGAGAAGAGAAGAGAAGAGAAGAGAAGAGAAGAGAAGAGAAAAGAAGAGAAAUACAUGCCUUGCAUUUGUUACAGGUAUUUUCUUUAAUGACACAUUCACGUUACCCCAUUUUCAUGAAUGACAUGUUCCUUAACUAGCCUGGCAAAUGUUUACUAUUGUUGAGUUCUUCUACUUUUUUCACCUCGAAUUUCUUUUUCUUCUGCCCUACUGGGCUGAAAAUUGGAUGAAGAUGAAGGGAAAAUGACUCAAAGGCAAGCCAAAGAGACAGAAGAACACAGCAAGGAUCGUGAAAAGAAGAAACCCAUCAGGGCUGGGAACACCGAGGAGGAGGCAAAGCAGCCUCAUGACCACCUGGUGAGAAGAGAGAUGGAAGCUGGGCAGCUUUUGGAGAAACGUCCUGUGGAUUGUAAAUGAAAUAGGAGACAAAGGAGCUGGGCAGGAAGGGAAGGCAACAGCAGCCAGAGAGGCCUCCUGGAGUAAAGCUCGGCAGCAAUUUUGCAGCUGGAACUUUUUUCCCCAGUGUGUAACGUAAAUCCAUCACUGCCACCACACCAGCAUUCCUUCCCUGCCCUGCUCUACUGAAAGACAUAGAGGGGAAAAAAAAUGUGAAGGCUUUCAUCUAAAUAUUUCCUUUAGAAGUAUAGUUCUACAAUCAAUUGCGUUUGUUGCUUUCUGUGUUUGAAAACAGCAGUAGUAAGGAAGGAAAAAGGAACAUGUGCCUUACCACCAGAAGAGACCGAGUUCUGGGAAGCCGUGAGUCAGAUGAGGAUGUGGUGCCAGGGUGGAUCUGCAGCUGAAGAGUUCAUGGGACCAGGAUGUGGCUGACUCUUCACUGGAAAUGGGGGUGUAUAAUGCCAGACAGACAAUACAGGAGCCAACUGUUCUUGGGACAUAGUCAAGAAUGACCGUCCUUAAUGAAGACUAAUUGGAGGAGUAAAAGCAACCAACCUGCAUUCAUCGAAAGCAAGUCAUACCAGAACAAAGUGAUGACACUUCUUUGCCUGGGUAACCCACUUGAAGGAGAUGAGGGCCGUGCCAGUGUGCUGAGAACAGAGAUGGGAAAUGAAUCAACAUGCGACAAAGCUUGCUGGAACCAGCAAGGAUCUUCCCAUGGGUGUCAGCAAGCUUUCAUUCAGCUCCUUUCAUAGCAGAUUUUCUGAAAGAGCUGAGCUCCCCUACAGGGGCCAGAUUUGCAAAAGAGCAGAGCAGGUGGGAGGCUUCCGGGGAAAAUCUGUUGAUAAAUGCCAAGCAGAAGCAGCAGGGAUCUGAGCUUGCUGGAGGAGCUGAGGAGAUUUCCUGAAGCAUGCUUUCAGAGAUCGGUUCCCACCUACUUUCCCACCAAGCAAGCUGCCAAGAUGUAAUGGCCACUGAGAGCUGCUCUGCAGGCUUGUUUGGGAGAAUGUGUCCAGCAGAGAUUUGUCUACCCUCAGCUCUGCUAAUACACUCCAGUGCCAGAUCACUUUAUUAAUUAUUCCAGCUCUAAACCACACCAGGUCUGCAGUCACCUUCUGGCUCUACUUACUGCACCAAAGACACUCCAUGCAAGCAGAAUUUCCUCAGCACUUCCUUCAGGCUUAAGAGAAGCAUUCUGCAAGCCUGGAUGUGAUAAACUCUGGCACUACACCGCAUGGAGUUGAAGCCAGAUUCAAGCUUGGCAGGAAUCCGCUUAUCACUAUGGGGCAUGUGAACUACAGAGUCAUUAAGGUUGGAAAAGACCACUAAGAUCAUCUAAUCCAGCUGUCAACCCAUCGCCACCAUGCCCACGUGUAACUUAACUGUGCAGCCAUGGAGUCACUGCUGCUAUUCAGGCUCGAAGCCCCAGUUGAACUGGUUCCUUCCAUGGUGGAGUGCAUAUGAUUUAGAGGAGCUCACCUGCCUUUGCACAGCUCUCCCAGGAGAAGAAAUAAGAGAUUUAGCUAGCUCUGCCCUGCUUGCAGAAAUGAGGUUUGCACCACAUUUCUCUGCUGUGAGUACAAGAGCUCAUGUGCCUGCUUUGUGGAGAAAUGCACUUCUGUGCUUUGGAUGCACUAUUUUCCUUGACCUCUGGACUGGAAACCAUUUGUGUGGGUGGGAGUCCAGCCCAACUCUGUAAUUAGGAAAGCUAUUAAUAAUUAGAGAACUUGUUAUCUACCAGAGGAUGGAGAACUACACAUGCUAUCGCAAAAAUAAAUAAAUAAAUAAAUGAUCACCUCCUGUGGAAAGAGCUGUGGUUUGCACAAUGUUUUGAGAAACGUGUAGCUGAUCUGUCAUAAAUCAUGGAUUUCUUUGUUUGCUACACCAUCUUGGAUCAGUCCUGGCCAGCAAUAGGACAGAGCUGACAUUCUUCUGAAGAAAUAGUGGGAUCAUCUCCGUGUACCAGAAGGAAAACCAUACAAAUUACAGUUUAGAUUCUCUUUAUUUCCCUACUAGCUACCAGAACAUCAAGGAAACGCAACGUCUCAGACUUUUCAAACGUGAUAUCUAGGAGCACAUUUUUUUUUUUUUUUUAAGAAAAAAAGGAAAAAAUCCAGGACUGACACCAGAAACUGAAAAUUUCAGGGAGACAAAAACAACGACAAAAAAAUCCGUGAAGAGCUGUGAGGUUCAUAAUCACAAGGAGCAAUAAUCGCAAGAGAUAGCGAUAAUGGCAACGCUGCUGCCAGAGCCAGCAGGGCAGCAGAGGCUCAGCAGGCAGGGCUUGCCCUGGUGCCCUUCACCGGUCUUUUUUACUGGCUCAUUAAGUAGAACCGUUGCAAAAAGAAGAGAGUCAAAAUUGGUUUCCCCUCAGAAAGUCAGUUUAACAGAAUUAUCCACCCACAAAUAAGUGUCAAAACAAAUCUUUCCACCUUGCCCAGCUUGCUCCGAUAAUGUCAAGUCAGUGCAUCUCAGUCCUCCUGAUAAUUUGUUCCAGUGACAUAAAAUGCUGCUUCACAACUUUGUUUCAUUCCAUUUUAGCUUUAUUACAGACAAAUUAACAUUCAUUUUCGUUUUAAUGGACCUUACCAUUUGCAGCAUUAAUAUUUUGGAUUCAGUAUUUUUAAAGCCAAGUGUGCUCUGACUCUUUUGCUGUUUGCUGUUUCAGCAUUGCUGGAAGUAAAUGUCAAUCAACAUUAUUGCAAAUGGCAUGUUUGUCCAGCACUAAGAUGGGCUGAAAAUUUCAGAAAGAGAGCUUUUUAUUAAAAUCUCAGCUUUUUUUUAACUAUCUGUUCUAUUUUUGUAUAAAACCAGAGUUUGGAAUUUCCAGAACCUGCAGUGUGGUGAAAGAUCUAUUUUUUCCUACCAUUCAUUUUCAAAUGCAGACAGAUGCUAAUGACUUUACUUUCAAAGGUCUUCAAUUAAUUACCAUGUUGAUACUCAUUUAACAAGAUUUUCUGGCCCGCACCUGUUCCCCUGUACAAGACUUUGCCUUCCCACCAUCAUCCUGAUCCCCUCUCUCAGGCUCUCUGCUUGUCACUGCUACAUAAAUUACUUUCCACUUUCAGAGUGAAAGGGCAAACAGUGCUAUCAUGAUAAGAAACCCAAGAACAAGGAGUUGCUUUUGGGGCUUGCAGGGUGCUUUUAGGGCUAGGUAG